GACGAACGCUGGCGGCGUGCUUAACACAUGCAAGUCGAACGGAAAGGCCCUGCUUGCAGGGUGCUCGAGUGGCGAACGGGUGAGUAACACGUGGGUGAUCUGCCCCUUACUUUGGGAUAAGCCUGGGAAACUGGGUCUAAUACUGGAUAGGACCAUGCUGUAGGUGGUGUGGUGGAAAGAUUAGUUUCGGUAAGGGAUGAGCUCGCGGCCUAUCAGCUUGUUGGUGGGGUAAUGGCCUACCAAGGCGUCGACGGGUAGCCGGCCUGAGAGGGUGGACGGCCACAUUGGGACUGAGAUACUGCCCAGACUCCUACGGGAGGCAGCAGUGGGGAAGAUUGAACAAUGGGCGCAAGCCUGAUGCAGCGACGCCGCGGGGGGGAUGACGGCCUUCGGGUUGUAAACUCCUUUCAGCCAUGACGAAGCCCUUGUGGUGACGGUAGUGGUAGAAGAAGCACCGGCUAACUACGUG
rnacentral:rRNA from 1 species